CUGUUCAAUUACUGGCCUGUACUGAAGGAACGCCGUUUGCUGGUUCCCCGCUGGCUCCGCAGCAGUUUCACCUUGUCUGGACUUUGAAGAAGAAGAUUGCAAAAUGAAUGGGCUUCCAGCAUCUUGUCAGUUGAUCAUCAUCGUACACAGCAAAUCAUGAGUUCAAAAGUUUGUUUUUUUCACCCUUUGGUCUUGUUAAAGAUGCUAGGCUAGUUGUAUACCCAACAACUCAAAAGCCAAAAGGGUUUGGUUUUGUUACGGUUCGAGUCAGAGACUGAUGCGCACAAGGCAUUGGAGCCCAUGAAUGGCAGGAUUGUUAUGGAAGACUGAUCUUUGUUGAAGUGGCAAAAAACAUGGAGUGAUCGAGUACGAUUCUCUUUUAUUUCCCCAAUUUUGUUGGGUGGUUAGGAAACCAAAAGGGUGAGCAUGACCAAAUGUUCCUACAAGCGUAUUGCAAGACAAAUUAGGACUCUUGUAGAGAGAAGAAUUUGUAAAAGGAGAAAGUUAAUGCAUUUGAUUUUAUACUUUGCCUAAGCACUUGAUUGUAUUCAUGCUUUUGCCUGAACGAGCAACUUGACUUAAUGAUUGUAAAAGGAGAAGUUACAUUAUUGUAAAGUUUGCUCAGUAUUACCAAUAAAACGAAAUUGAGUGGAUUCCAGUUAA